UACGUAGGGGGCAAGCGUUGUCCGGAUUUAUUGGGCGUAAAGAGCUCGUAGGCGGCUUAGCAAGUCGGGUGUGAAAACUCCAGGCUCAACCUGGAGACGCCACUCGAGACUGCUAUGGCUAGAGUCCGGUAGGGGACCACGGAAUUCCUGGUGUAGCGGUGAAAUGCGCAGAUAUCAGGAGGAACACCGGUGGCGAAGGCGGUGGUCUGGGCCGGAACUGACGCUGAGGAGCGAAAGCGUGGGGAGCAAACAGG
rnacentral:rRNA from 1 species